AUGACGACCGGCGCACGGGUGCGUAACGCGUACGCAACCUACCUCUUACUGGGGAAUAGCCCGGAGAAAUCCGGAUUAAUGCCCCAUAGUAUUAUUUAAUCGCAUGAUUUGAAUAAUUAAAGGUUACGGUAAGAGAUGGGCAUGCGUCCUAUUAGCUAGAUGGUAAGGUAACGGCUUACCAUGGCAACGAUAGGUAGGGGGCCUGAGAGGGUGAUCCCCCACACUGGUACUGAGACACGGACCAG
rnacentral:rRNA from 1 species